rnacentral:SRP_RNA from 1 species
GCCAGGUGUGGUGGUACACACCUGUAAUCCCAGCUACUCAGGAGGCUGAGGCAGGAGAAUCACUUGAACCCAGGAGGCUGAGGUUGCAGUGAGCAGAGAUCACGCCACUACACUCCAGCCUGGGUGACAGAGUGAGACCGUGUCUCAA